rnacentral:rRNA from 1 species
GCACUUUCAGUCGUGAGGAAGGUAGUGUAGUUAAUAGCUGCAUUAUUUGACGUUAGCGACAGAAGAAGCACCGGCUAACUCCGUGCCAGCAGCCGCGGUAAUACGGAGGGUGCGAGCGUUAAUCGGAAUUACUGGGCGUAAAGACGCAUGCAGGUGGUUUGGUUUAAGUUCAGAUGUGAAAGACCCGGGGCUCAACCUCGGAAUAGCAUUUGAAACUGGCAGACUAGAGUACUGUAGAGGGGGGUAGGAAUUUCAGGUGUAGCGGUGAAAUGCGUAGAGAUCUGAAGGAAUACCGGUGGCGAAGGCGGCCCCCUCGGACAGAUACUGACACUCAGAUGCGAAAGCGUGGGGAGCAAACAGGAUUAGAUACCCUGGUAG